GGGGAUGCAUUGCAUCGACAGGAAAGCACGUUAAAAACUGCAAGCCGACCUUGAUAAAAGUCGUUAAACAGAUCAAAAAAUAAAUGCUAGAAGCAAUUCUAGUCGCCUAGCUUAUAUGCCUUUAUACGCAUAUAACUAAUAGGCUGUUCAUAUCGCCUUUUCUCAACGAGACUUUAUGGGCAUAAAUAAAGUUGAGCUAUAGAUAAAAAGUUGGUUGGCUUUCUAUCCGAAAAUUUCAACCUUUGUUAUAUUUGUUUCCUGCCAGUUGGAGAAAAUAUUACGAGAUUUAAAAAUUGGCUAAGCUUGUAGAAGUUUUUAAUUAUACUUUCUUGGACUCCGGUUCACUGCCGGACAUCUCCACAA
rnacentral:tmRNA from 1 species